CGCAUCUGUGCAUGCAGCAUAUCAAUAAGCGGAGGAAAAGAAACUAACAAGGAUUCCCCUAGUAACGGCGAGUGAAGCGGGAAGAGCUCAAAUUUGAAAUCUUAAAGGGUUUCCCUUUACGAAUUGUAGUUUAAAGAAGUGUUUUCUGUUGAGGUUUUGGUAAAAGUUCUUUGGAAUAGGACAUCAUAGAGGGUGAGAAUCCCGUAUUUGACCUUUACUUUCAACUUUGUGAUACACUUUCAAAGAGUCGGAUUGUUUGGGAAUGCAGUCCAAAAUGGGUGGUAAAUUUCAUCUAAAGCUAAAUAUUGGCGAGAGACCGAUAGCGAACAAGUACCGUGAGGGAAAGAUGAAAAGAACUUUGAAAAGAGAGUUAAACAGUACGUGAAAUUGUCAAAAGGGAAGCGUUUGACACCAGUGUUGUUUUUCUGAAAAUCAAUUAAAGAACUGUUUAUGCUAAGUUGUUUAGACUUUAUCAGCUAACUGUUUAGUUUUGAGCUUUUCUUUAAUGCACUUUUCAGUUAACAAGUCAACAUCAAUUUCUUUUGCUGUAAAAAAGCUUGAGGAAGGUGGCUUGAGAUUCGUCUUAAGUGUUUAUAGCCUCUUGCCUAUGCAGUCGGAGAGAUUGAGGUCUGCAGCGUAGAUCCUUCGGGGCUAAAUGCAUUUGUGCUAAGUUAUAGCAUUUUAUAGACAACUUGUUGACUAUGAUUUGUCUUGUAGCUUACUCGCUUAUGUUAUUUUACCUACGCUUAGGAUGUUGAGCGCAUGUCUCUCUCU
rnacentral:rRNA from 1 species